UCUUGGUCAUUUAGAGGAAGUAAAAGUCGUAACAAGGUUUCCGUAGGUGAACCUGCGGAAGGAUCAUUACCUUUCAAUGCAGCAGAAUGGGGAUGGUUGAGUUUCUCGCCUCUCUGUUCUGCCUGUAUUCUACCCUUGUUUGUCAUAUACUAUUAUUUCCUCGGCAGGCUUGCUUGCCGAGUGAAACCAAUUAUAACCUAUUUAAUUUUCAAUCAGCGUCUGAACAAAAUUAAUAAUUACAACUUUCAACAACGGAUCUCUUGGUUCUGGCAUCGAUGAAGAACGCAGCGAAAUGCGAUAAGUAGUGUGAAUUGCAGAAUUCAGUGAAUCAUCGAAUCUUUGAACGCACAUUGCGCCCCUUGGUAUUCCAUGGGGCAUGCCUGUUCGAGCGUCAUUUGUACCUUCAAGCUUUGCUUGGUGUUGGGUGUUUGUCCUGAGGGACUCGCCUUAAAGUAAUUGGCAGCCAGUGUUUGGUUUUGAAGCGCAGCACAAGUCGCGAUUCAAAGCUAUACGCCCGCUUCCACAAGCCUUUUUCACUUUUGACCUCGGAUCAGGUAGGGAUACCCGCUGAACUUAAGCAUAUCAAUA
rnacentral:rRNA from 1 species